rnacentral:rRNA from 1 species
UGAACGCUGGCGGCGUGCCUAAUACAUGCAAGUCGAGCGAACAGACGAGGAGCUUGCUCCUCUGACGUUAGCGGCGGACGGGUGAGUAACACGUGGAUAACCUACCUAUAAGACUGGGAUAACUUCGGGAAACCGGAGCUAAAACCGGAUAAUAUAUUGAACCGCAUGGUUCAAUAGUGAAAGACGGUUUUGCUGUCACUUAUAGAUGGAUCCGCGCCGCAUUAGCUAGUUGGUAAGGUAACGGCUUACCAAGGCAACGAUGCGUAGCCGACCUGAGAGGGUGAUCGGCCACACUGGAACUGAGACACGGUCCAGACUCCUACGGGAGGCAGCAGUAGGGAAUCUUCCGCAAUGGGCGAAAGCCUGACGGAGCAACGCCGCGUGAGUGAUGAAGGUCUUCGGAUCGUAAAACUCUGUUAUUAGGGAAGAACAAAUGUGUAAGUAACUAUGCACGUCUUGACGGUACCUAAUCAGAAAGCCACGGCUAACUACGUG